UAGACUUUAUCCCUCUCCAAGGUACGCAAAUCAUCGAAGAGGGUUUCCAUCGAGUCAAUCCAAGACUCGACCAUCUCCGGUUCCACGUUCUCGCCCUCGAAAGUUGGCGGAUGGAACUUGUUGAACUUGAUAAGAGCCGCCAACGCGCGCUCUCCUUCCACCUCUUCGGCCGACACAUCGGGUGUAGCCGAUCCCGAUGCCGCCUGUGGUGCGAUCGCUGGCGGUGGGCGUGCCGUCACUAGAACCGCCGCUAUACCCUCACCCUCCGCCACCUCAGGUACAGGGUCGAGGGCGCGGGCGGACCACCGCCCUCAGCCACUGUCGCGGGCGCUGCCGCGAGCUGCCGCUCCAUAAGCUCCUGGAGCCUCUCGAAUCGGGUCUCCUGGCGCUGCACCACAUUAGUCAACGCGGUCACUUGCGCCUGCAGCCGAUCCAUCAUGCUCGGCUCCGUCUGCUCGGGCACCUCGGGUGGCGGUGCCGGAGUGGAUCUCGUACUUGGGCGUCUCUUCGGUGCCAUAGCUCCUGAAACGCAACCACUUGGUUAAUCACUUUAACCAACUUCCUCGUCGGAAUCACGACACACGACGACUGAACAACAAAAUUGGGCGGAAGCACACAAGCGUACUCAUCCUAGGCUCUUGGCAUCAUGUAGUCGGCCGCCGACACAACCACCUCAAGUCAAGAACUCAUACAACUCGAAUCCGUCUCUAAUCACAACUAGAGACCUAUACCAACUGCGACCCAAUCGAUUUAACCUCCGCCAUCGCUAUAGGUUCACGUUCCGCUCACGCACCUAUAACCUUAAAGCUUGCCAACCUAGGGUCUCCUAGGUCAUCAUAGACUCUCUUUACUUGCUCUUAUUGCUCUGAUACCACAAAAGACUGUCACGCCCCGCCCCGAAAUCACUACCAAUUUGGCACGAUUCGGCCGCGGCGACGGACCGCCGAAUGGACAACACCUCCCUUGUCCGCCCAAGGCUCAACGACAGGAAUGUGUACAAGAAUUUACUCAGGACUUUAAAUUCUAAACAUACACAUUCAACGAGGGCACAAACAGUGCCAACAACAAGAAGAGCAGGUAAUCCACAAGAUAUACGAGUGAAAUAAAGAGAGUACUUUACUAACUAUUACAAUAGUUGCAUUCUUUACAUCAUUUUUCAUCCAAAAUACAUAGCUCUCCAAAUCCUCACCUACAAUAAAUCUCUCUCUAUACAUAGGUGACUAAUGCAAAAGGGAAAGCUACUAUACUACCACGGUCUCACUGGUCGGGCGCGACGCCCUUGCCGCGGUCCUCUCUCUGCAGCCCUGAACCUACCACUGGAAAUAGAGUGGGGUGAGAACUAUCUUCCAUAGUUCC
rnacentral:lncRNA from 1 species